rnacentral:rRNA from 1 species
UACGGGGGGGGCAAGCGUUGUCCGGAAUCAUUGGGCGUAAAGCGCGUGUAGGCGGUCCGGUAAGUCCGCUGUGAAAGUCGAGGGCUCAACCCUCGAAUGCCGGUGGAUACUGUCGGGCUUGAGUACGGGAGAGGCGAGUGGAAUUCCUGGUGUAGCGGUGAAAUGCGCAGAUAUCAGGAGGAACACCGAUUGCGAAGGCAGCUCGCUGGAACGUUACUGACGCUGAGACGCGAAAGCGUGGGGAGCAAACAGG